rnacentral:rRNA from 1 species
GAUGAACGCUGGCGGCGUGCCUAAUACAUGCAAGUCGAGCGAAUGGAUUAAGAGCUUGCUCUUAUGAAGUUAGCGGCGGACGGGUGAGUAACACGUGGGUAACCUGCCCAUAAGACUGGGAUAACUACGGCAAAACGGGGCUAAUACCGGAUAACAUUUUGAACGGCAUGGUUCGAAAUUGACAGGCGGCUUCGGCUGUCACUUAUGGAUGGACCCGCGGCGCAUUAGCUAGUUGGUGAGGUAACGGCUCACCAAGGGAACGAUGCGUAGCCGACCUGAGAGGGUGAUCGGCCACACUGGGACUGAGACACGGCCCAGACUCCUACGGGAGGCAGCAGUAGGGAAUCUUCCGCAAUGGACGAAAGUCUGACGGAGCAACGCCGCGUGAGUGAUGAAGGCUUUCGGGUCGUAAAACUCUGUUGUUAGGGAAGAACAAGUGCUAGUUGAAUAAGCUGGCACCUUGACGGUACCUAACCAGAAAGCCACGGCUAACUACGUGCCAGCCGCCGCCGUAA